AUACUCCUGACUGACCGAUAGUGAACCAGUACCGUGAGGGAAAGGCGAAAAGAACCCCGGCGAGGGGAGUGAAAAAGAACCUGAAACCGUGUACGUACAAGCAGUGGGAGCACGCUUAGGCGUGUGACUGCGUACCUUUUGUAUAAUGGGUCAGCGACUUAUAUUCUGUAGCAAGGUUAACCGAAUAGGGGAGCCGAAGGGAAACCGAGUCUUAACUGGGCGUUAAGUUGCAGGGUAUAGACCCGAAACCCGGUGAUCUAGCCAUGGGCAGGUUGAAGGUUGGGUAACACUAACUGGAGGACCGAACCGACUAAUGUUGAAAAAUUAGCGGAUGACUUGUGGCUGGGGGUGAAAGGCCAAUCAAACCGGGAGAUAGCUGGUUCUCCCCGAAAGCUAUUUAGGUAGCGCCUCGUGAAUUCAUCUCCGGGGGUAGAGCACUGUUUCGGCAAGGGGGUCAUCCCGACUUACCAACCCGAUGCAAACUGCGAAUACCGGAGAAUGUUAUCACGGGAGACACACGGCGGGUGCUAACGUCCGUCGUGAAGAGGGAAACAACCCAGACCGCCAGCUAAGGUCCCAAAGUCAUGGUUAAGUGGGAAACGAUGUGGGAAGGCCCAGACAGCCAGGAUGUUGGCUUAGAAGCAGCCAUCAUUUAAAGAAAGCGUAAUAGCUCACUGGUCGAGUCGGCCUGCGCGGAAGAUGUAACGGGGCUAAACCAUGCACCGAAGCUGCGGCAGCGACGCUUAUGCGUUGUUGGGUAGGGGAGCGUUCUGUAAGCCUGUGAAGGUGUGCUGUGAGGUAUGCUGGAGGUAUCAGAAGUGCGAAUGCUGACAUAAGUAACGAUAAAGCGGGUGAAAAGCCCGCUCGCCGGAAGACCAAGGGUUCCUGUCCAACGUUAAUCGGGGCAGGGUGAGUCGACCCCUAAGGCGAGGCCGAAAGGCGUAGUCGAUGGGAAACAGGUUAAUAUUCCUGUACUUGGUGUUACUGCGAAGGGGGGACGGAGAAGGCUAUGUUGGCCGGGCGACGGUUGUCCCGGUUUAAGCGUGUAGGCUGGUUUUCCAGGCAAAUCCGGAAAAUCAAGGCCGAGGCGUGAUGACGAGGCACUACGGUGCUGAAGCAACAAAUGCCCUGCUUCCAGGAAAAGCCUCUAAGCAUCAGGUAACAUCAAAUCGUACCCCAAACCGACACAGGUGGUCAGGUAGAGAAUACCAAGGCGCUUGAGAGAACUCGGGUGAAGGAACUAGGCAAAAUGGUGCCGUAACUUCGGGAGAAGGCACGCUGAUACGUAGGUGAAGCGACUUGCUCGUGGAGCUGAAAUCAGUCGAAGAUACCAGCUGGCUGCAACUGUUUAUUAAAAACACAGCACUGUGCAAACACGAAAGUGGACGUAUACGGUGUGACGCCUGCCCGGUGCCGGAAGGUUAAUUGAUGGGGUUAGCGCAAGCGAAGCUCUUGAUCGAAGCCCCGGUAAACGGCGGCCGUAACUAUAACGGUCCUAAGGUAGCGAAAUUCCUUGUCGGGUAAGUUCCGACCUGCACGAAUGGCGUAAUGAUGGCCAGGCUGUCUCCACCCGAGACUCAGUGAAAUUGAACUCGCUGUGAAGAUGCAGUGUACCCGCGGCAAGACGGAAAGACCCCGUGAACCUUUACUAUAGCUUGACACUGAACAUUGAGCCUUGAUGUGUAGGAUAGGUGGGAGGCUUUGAAGUGUGGACGCCAGUCUGCAUGGAGCCGACCUUGAAAUACCACCCUUUAAUGUUUGAUGUUCUAACGUGGACCCGUGAUCCGGGUUGCGGACAGUGUCUGGUGGGUAGUUUGACUGGGGCGGUCUCCUCCUAAAGAGUAACGGAGGAGCACGAAGGUUGGCUAAUCCUGGUCGGACAUCAGGAGGUUAGUGCAAUGGCAUAAGCCAGCUUGACUGCGAGCGUGACGGCGCGAGCAGGUGCGAAAGCAGGUCAUAGUGAUCCGGUGGUUCUGAAUGGAAGGGCCAUCGCUCAACGGAUAAAAGGUACUCCGGGGAUAACAGGCUGAUACCGCCCAAGAGUUCAUAUCGACGGCGGUGUUUGGCACCUCGAUGUCGGCUCAUCACAUCCUGGGGCUGAAGUAGGUCCCAAGGGUAUGGCUGUUCGCCAUUUAAAGUGGUACGCGAGCUGGGUUUAGAACGUCGUGAGACAGUUCGGUCCCUAUCUGCCGUGGGCGCUGGAGAACUGAGGGGGGCUGCUCCUAGUACGAGAGGACCGGAGUGGACGCAUCACUGGUGUUCGGGUUGUCAUGCCAAUGGCACUGCCCGGUAGCUAAAUGCGGAAGAGAUAAGUGCUGAAAGCAUCUAAGCACGAAACUUGCCCCGAGAUGAGUUCUCCCUGACCCUUUAAGGGUCCUGAAGGAACGUUGAAGACGACGACGUUGAUAGGCCGGGUGUGUAAGCGCAGCGAUGCGUUGAGCUAACCGGUACUAAUGAACCGUGAGGCUUAACCUU
rnacentral:rRNA from 1 species